CAGACGGAGGCAUCUUGGUGUAUACACAGCCCUGCUGGGCCACAUCCCGGGUCUCCUCCCUCUGCGAUGCCAUAGCAGGGGCGCCUUCCGAAAGCCCUCUGGAUUGAGGCAGCAGGAUCUAUGGUGGAACCUGCCCCGGCGUCGCCAACGCCCCUAGGACCCCAGCACACUGACUGGGGAGCAUCCCUGUGUCGUUUCUGCCCGGAGAGGAGCAGAGGCCAGGCUGCUGCUCUGGGAGAUGAGACUUUCUGGUGCACCUGCACUUCCACAUGAGACUUCCGGGUGCACCUGCACUCCCAGAUGCAGACUUCCUGGUGCACCUGCACUUCCUGGUGCAGACUUCUUGGUUCAUCUGCAACUUCCUGGUGAGAAUCCCUUGGGCAUCUGCACUUCCUGAUGCACCUGCACUUCUAGUUAUUUUAGAGAAAACGUUCCCUGAACAUGCCACAUGCAGAGGAUGCUGGGUAUCAGGCUACCUUUGCUGGACAGCUCCAGUCUACAGGGUCUCCACUCCUGAGUUCCCGGAAACAAGAUACAGAUUUCAGAAUGGCACCUGAACAUUGUUUACUGAUUUCCGGCUGGAAGUGAGGGUCCGAGGGAUUCUUCUAUGGAAUUGUAUGACUCAGCAUCUUUCUGAUUGCAAGCAGCAGCAUCGCAGCCUAAAUGAAUCUAUUGGCUUCUUCAACAGACCAAUCCGGUGGACGUGGUGGCUUCGGGUGAGGGAUGCUCCAGGGGCUCUCCAUGAUGUCCCCAAGGUCCUUUAACCUCUGGGCACUGCUUCUGCAGGAUUGGCUUUGCUUAGGGUUGGUUCCCCUUCAUUCUUGAGCUGGUUGUGGGCAACUCCUGCCCCCUGUGGGGGGACUGGACUGCCUUAGAUCACAUGUGUGUCCCUGACUCUCUGUGGUCAGGGGAUAGAAUAUUCAGAUUGGAGGGGAGCCAGCUUCUCCUAAACCACGUGGAUCUCCAAACGGAAGUCAGAGCAGAUGGGAAGGGGGAGCAGACGUUGAGCUCAAUCAAUAAACACCCACCUUGGGAGCUGCAGCCUGGAGGGCUUGGUGACUGCCACGCUGGCUGCUCAGAGCUCCUCGCUUACUUUUGGGCAUAUGCCUGUGAACCAGAUGGUGGCACCUCCUGAAAAUCGGGUCUGUGGAUAAUGGGAGGAUUUUUUAAAUUAUGAAAAUGUUCAUUAUGGAAGAAUAAAUGAAGAAUAGCAU
rnacentral:lncRNA from 1 species